CGUUCUCUGGAUUCUCCUCGUACUGCAUUGUAGGUUAUUUUGAACGCGUUCUUGCAAUGGUUUCGGUUUGAGACUCCUUAUCUUUUAGCUAAUUCUACUCUUCUUCGCUCUUGUGAAUAUUUGCUUUAAUCUUCUUCGUCUUCGUGUGGUUCUCUAUGGUUUCCCGAUUACAAGAUAUCAUUAUGAUCUAGAAGAUUCGAUAUGUUUUUGCUGUGAAUUACUAUCUGGUUCCUUUUAUAGAACUGUAUUCGGAUUUGCGGAUUGUGGAUUUGCUUAGCUGCUGAUUGAGAUGCUUUCUUCUGGAUUUCAAUAAAACGAGGAGUUUGUUCUUCUUAUGAUGAUGAUCUUUGAAGCUAAUAUAAUUUUGAACCACUGGUGAUCCUUUCUUUCAAAUCAAUAACUUUGAAAAUUGUUAUUAGGUUGCUCAGGGAAAAGAACGAACAUAUGAAUGGAGUGUUAUUCAUUGUUUGCUGGAUUGGAAUUAUGAUUUUCUCUGCUUAAGUGUGGAGUUUUCUUGGAUGGUCUGUUAGCUGGAUUGAAGAUCUUUUUGUUCUGGAAGCGAGAUCUUGAUUGUGAACGCUAGCUUUUUGUCGGUGAUUGGAGGAUGAAUUCUGCUUCUUCCUAAAUCCGAAGAAACUGAGAACUCUCUUUACCCUGCUUUUUCUGAAACUUCUAUUCUUGAACUAUUGUUCUUAUGUAUAGAGAUUUAGCUACGGUUUUGCUUGUUGAACAUGGCUUUUCUUUCACGGGACUGUUUUCCUGAUUAUUCAGGCGAGAUGUAGGAUGUGAACGCGUGCUUGUUGGUGAUUGGAGGAUGAAUUCUGCUUUUGCCUGGAUGAGAAGAAACCGAGAACUUUUACCCUUGCUUUUUUUUCCCUGAAACUUGAAACUUCUUUUCUUCGACUGUUCUUAUCAUCAUCAUGUAGAGGGAUUCAGCUUCCGUUUUGCUUGCUUUGCAGUGCAUUUGGGAGGUUGGAGAUUUGUAGAUAGGAGAUAUUGGAAGAAUUUACUGCUAUAAUCGACACGGACGACUAGAUAACUAAUUCCUUAAAACAGAACAGAUUCUUUACUUUUAUCCGUUUUUUAAGAUUCAAUUAUAAAUUAUAAAUCAUGCAUGUGAAUUAAAAUGUGAAUCAUAUUCUAUGCAGCGUUGUCCACCUUGAAGCGUGGUUUUGAGUGCGACACAUACAGAGGAUAGAGAACAAGAACAGUUUUUCUAAACUUUCUUUCCCUGCAUUUUCUUUCCCAACCUACUUUGCUAGCAUUGUGAAUUAAAUGUGGGUGUGUUUCCUAUGCAGUGUUGUCUGAUAUUGUUACCCGCGGGUGUUGAGUGCAUCCUGGUCGAUAUGUUUCUUGCACUUGCCUGGUUCAUUUGUUUAAGUUUUGCUUCCUUUUUUUUUUUAUUUAAAUAAUUGGCUGCUUUGGUUCUUUGUUGUUUUCUUCAUAAUUCUGUCUUUCUUGGAAAUCGGUUCAUGUUUCUCUUUUUUGCCUUAGGAGCCAAUUGAAGGAUAUGGGAUUGCACUUGGGCGAUGUGUCCAAGAUUCCGAAAUUGAUAAUUCCCUCCUAACAUAUGCAUUAAUUUUUUUAGUAUUAAAUAAUAGUUUGAUUACGGAGUUAUCUUGUUUGUGUCUGUAAUGCUUUAAAUUGGUUGCAGAAGUCUGGAAUAAUGGUUAGAAGAUAUAUGGCAGGAAGGCUCAAAAUAAUACAAGCAUCAUAAUCUGAUUAACUUCUUUUUUAAUUAUCUUGCGUUAAUGGUCGUGCAAAAUUCAAUUUGAACUUGGUUCUCUUGCAGUGUUUUCGUUUUGGUCGAGUAACAUUGUGUAGCUGGUGACGUCUGUACCUGGAGUUUGGACGCACUGGAUCUC